AGGUGAGGCUGAUGACUGGGAUGAAGUCGUAACAAGGUAGCCCUACCGGAAGGUGGGGCUGGAUCACCUCCUUUUAAGGAUAAGGAUAGUUGCC
rnacentral:rRNA from 1 species